GUUACUUUGGCAGAAUAGUGCAAUAAAUUUAGAAUUUAUAAAUGUAAGGGAUUACAGGUAACA
rnacentral:tRNA from 2 species